rnacentral:rRNA from 1 species
AACACAAACCCCGGCGCUGAAUGCGUCAAGGAAUUUAMAAUUUGCUCUGGGCGCACCUACAUGGCACCGGAGACGGUUUUCGUGCGGGUUGUGUUCUGACACAUAAUACAGAAUGACUCUCGACAACGGAUAUCUAGGCUCUUGCAUCGAUGAAGAACGUAGCGAAAUGCGAUACUUGGUGUGAAUUGCAGAAUCCCGUGAACCAUCGAGUCUUUGAACGCAAGUUGCGCCCGAUGCCAUUAGGUUGAGGGCACGUCUGCCUGGGCGUCACAUAUCGAAGCCGCUUGCCAAUUUCCUAUAUUGAUAGGGGUAUUGUGCAGGGUGAAUGUUGGCCUCCCGUGAGCUUCAUCGCCUCAUGGUUGGUUGAAAAUCGAGACCUUGGUAGGGUGUGCCAUGAUAGAUGGUGGCUGUGUUACGCACGAGACCAAGUAAGUCAUGUGCUGCUCUAUUGAAUUUAGCCUCUUUUACCCACAUGUGUUUCAAAACGCUCGUGAUGAGACCUCAGGUCAGGCGGGGCUACCCGCUGAAUUUAAGCAUAUCAAUAAGCGGAGGAAAAGAAACUAACAAGGAUUCC